GACGAGCCACACGAACGUUAUUCGGAAUUACUGGGCUUAAAGGGUCCGUAGGCGGUUUUGUAAGUCAGUGGUGAAAGCCCAUCGCUCAACGGUGGAACGGCCAUUGAUACUGCAAGACUUGAAUUAUUAGGAAGUAACUAGAAUAUGUAGUGUAGCGGUGAAAUGCUUAGAGAUUACAUGGAAUACCAAUUGCGAAGGCAGGUUACUACUAAUGGAUUGACGCUGAUGGACGAAAGCGUGGGGAACGAACAGG
rnacentral:rRNA from 1 species